UGGCCGCGACGCGUGCUUGCGUCAUCUCCCGGCGCCACCGCCCUCUUUCGGGCUGCUUUUUCUUUUGGCUUGGUCAGCGCUUGACCAACCCCGCAGGAGUUUCUCUGUCGCGGCACGUGCACGUUUGAAAGUCCGGGUUGGCCCUUGCUGACCCGUAUGCGAGCCUAUCUCUCAGAGGAUAACGCUAUAAGAUUUUUGUGCCCAUCUUCAGAAUAGGAAGGUUCUCCUGGCGGCGUGGUUGUCCCCGACCUUCUUUUCGACUCUCUUCUCAUAGCUCUACAUUGAGAAUUCCAGGCCCGAAGCUCACCGUUUGUUACUGGGAAAGGUGAUUAACAAGGAGUUUGUUUUUCCUGCGAGUACUGUCUAGCGACUAACCCUGGUAGUAGCCACACAUGGCGAGUAUAAAGUAUAACUUCGUUAGAUUUUGGAAUAAGUAUAAUAAGUAUAACUUCCUGUGUUCGACAAGCUAAAAAGUAACAGGCGUUACCCCCAAAUCUCUACUGGUAUGAUGAAUACUCUAGAAGACUUAAAACUAGUUUUGACUUCUCUUUGGGGUUUUGGGCCCUCCAAUAACAGUUUUCUGUGCAAACUUUACUCUCCACUCUCCUGGUCUACAGACUUGCUCUCUUGUAUGCAUCCUUGCUCUCACUUUAUACGUAUCAAUGUAAAUCUGGGAUGUGUGCUAUGGCUGAGCAUGGGCAAUUCCAAGGAGGCAAAGAAAGACACGGGUUUUUGAAGGUAAAAUGAAGGUUACGUAAAUUGUUUUGAAAUUAUUCUAUUCUAGAAAGACGAAACAAGGUGGUAUCCGCCAAGGUAGACAUUCUGGCAGAAAUAUUCUUUGUGGGGCUGGGGAUAUAGCUGUCUUGGUGUAGAGUGCUUGGCUCACAUGAGCAGGCCCUGGGUUCAAUCCCCAGCACCACACAAACACACACACACACACACACACACAAACUCACUUUUUUAUGAAAGGUGUGCGGGUUAAGAUCCUUGUAGAUUUUCAACACAGGCAUAUGUUCCUGAGAGCCCUUCCUUUAUGGUCUCAUGACAUCGUUUGGAAUAAAUAUAACUUCAUCUUGAUCUAGCAGCUUUCACAUCUAGAACCUCCAGUAACUUCUUAUCUGACACUAAACCAAAGUUUUUACAAUAGUUUACAGGCCUUACAUGAACUCCUUCUACUCCAUCUUCCUGUCUUCUUUCUUAUUCCCCUGAAACUACACUAGCUUUUUUGCUGUUCCCUGAACACUGGGGACAAAUACCUGCAUCAGGGCCUUUUCACUAGCUGAACUUUCUAGUUGGAGUUUUCAUCAUCUCGUAUGGUAUUUAGGAAUUUGUUUAUCGUUGUUACAGUGUAUAUUCCAGAAAUAUAAUAAACUUUGUUGCUUAAUUCCUAGUGCCUACAGAUUUUCCAUGGGGAGUUUUAAUUGGUAGAUUUAAAACAAGCAGGCAUGAGUUCCAGUAGGUCACACUAUGGCUGAGAGUUGGUCACUAUGGCUUAUCUGCCCAGUAUCUGUCUGGUAUGGAGGUUAGUAGGGCCACUUGAGCAGGCUGCAUCCAGCUGCCCCCUGUAGAGAUGCUGAAGAGGGGCAGUUGUGUUAGACAGGUAUCUGGAUCAUCCAUACUGAAGAACUGGGUGGAGGUAUAGAACUGGAAACCAUGUAAAGGGUGACUGAACUCUGCUUCUGGUUUGAGAAAGUCCACCUUAUAUUCAGAAUGGAUGCCAAGGCCAUGUAAAAUUAUUUACCUAUGCAUCUGGGUUACUAUGACUCAAAAUUAUUUAUACCUCCACCAUUUAAUUGUUGUUAACAUUUGUCAUAGAUGACUUUCCCUUUUCUUUAUUUUUUUAAUAUGACAAAUUUUUUUCAUCUUUUUAAUGGUACUAGGGAUUAAACCCAGGGGCACUUUACUACUGAGCCACAUUUCCAGCCCUUUUUUGUUUUUUGUUUUUUUCAUUUUGAGACAGUCUCACUAAGUUACUGAAAGCCUUGCUAAGUUUCUGAGGCUGGCCUAGAACUUGCAAUUCUCCUCCUCAGCCUCCCAACUGCUGGGAUUACAAGCAUAUGCCACCAUACCCAGUCCUGACAAGAUCUCUAACUAGGAUACUCUUUCUUUUUAGAGCUGGGGAUUGAAUCCAGG
rnacentral:lncRNA from 1 species